rnacentral:rRNA from 1 species
AUACGGAGGAUGCAAGCGUUAUCCGGAUUUAUUGGGUUUAAAGAGUGCGUAGGCGGAUGAUUAAGCGUGAGGUGAAAUGCCACUGCUCAACAGUGGAACUGCCUCGCGAACUGGUUGUCUUGAAUGCUCCUGCCGUGGGAGGAAUGUGUGGUGUAGCGGUGAAAUGCAUAGAGAUCACACAGAACACCGAUUGCGAAGGCAUCUCACGAAGGGGUGAUUGACGCUGAGGCACGAAAACGUGGGGAUCAAACAGGAUUAGAUACCCUGGUAGUCCACGCAGUAAACGAUGAUAACUAACCGCUGGGUCGUAGUGAUUCAGUGGCCAAGCGAAAGCGAUAAGUUAUCCACCUGGGGAGUACGACCGCAAGGUUGAAACUCAAAGGAAUUGACGGGG